rnacentral:rRNA from 1 species
UGGGGAAUAUUGGACAAUGGGCGAAAGCCUGAUCCAGCCAUGCCGCGUGUGUGAAGAAGGUCUUCGGCUUGUAAAGCACUUUAAGUUGGGAGGAAGGGCAGUAAGCGAAUACCUUGCUGUUUUGACGUUACCGACAGAAUAAGCACCGGCUAACUCUGUGCCAGCAGCCGCGGUAAUACAGAGGGUGCAAGCGUUAAUCGGAAUUACUGGGCGUAAAGCGCGCGUAGGUGGUUCGUUAAGUUGAAUGUGAAAGCCCCGGGCUCAACCUGGGAACUGCAUCCAAAACUGGCGGGCUAGAGUAGGGCAGAGGGUGGUGGAAUUUCCUGUGUAGCGGUGAAAUGCGUAGAUAUAGGAAGGAACACCAGUGGCGAAGGCGACCACCUGGGCUCAUACUGACACUGAGGUGCGAAAGCGUGGGGAGCAAACAGG